rnacentral:rRNA from 1 species
UGUCCUACGGGAGGCAGCAGUGGGGAAUAUUGCACAAUGGGGGAAACCCUGAUGCAGCGACGCCGCGUGAGUGAAGAAGUAUUUCGGUAUGUAAAGCUCUAUCAGCAGGGAAGAAGAAAGACGGUACCUGACUAAGAAGCCCCGGCUAACUACGUGCCAGCAGCCGCGGUAAUACGUAGGGGGCAAGCGUUAUCCGGAUUUACUGGGUGUAAAGGGAGCGAAGACGGCUGUGCAAGUCUGAAGUGAAAGCCCGU